AUGAACGCUGGCGGUAUGCUUAACACAUGCAAGUCGAACGGACAAUUCUAGCUUGCUAGGAUUGUUAGUGGCAAACGGGUGAGUAACGCGUGGGAAUCUACCCAACAGUACGGAAUAACUUCUAGAAAUGGAUGCUAAUACCGUAUAUGCUCUACGGAGUAAAGAUUAAUCGCUGUUGGAUGAGCCCGCGUUAGAUUAGGUAGUUGGUAGGGUAAUGGCCUACCAAGCCUACGAUCUAUAGCUGGUCUGAGAGGAUGAUCAGCCACACUGGAACUGAGACACGGUCCAGACUCCUACGGGAGGCAGCAGUGAGGAAUAUUGGACAAUGGGCGCAAGCCUGAUCCAGCAAUACCGCGUGAGUGAAGAAGGCCUUAGGGUUGUAAAGCUCUUUCAGUGGGGAAGAUAAUGACGGUACCCACAGAAGAAGCCCCGGCUAACUCCGU
rnacentral:rRNA from 1 species